GAUAGAAGAAGAAAACCGACAAAGCAUUAAAAGAAACAUAAAUGAUCCCAACAACCUAGGUAAGUUGUUCAAUUCCAAAGCAUCUGAAAAGCUAAACCUUUCAGCAGCCUGUCAGAGUAUUAUCCCAUCAAUCCUAUCAAUCUACUUCAAUGAUAUACUGGAAGGUGUUCUUUCAAAAACCAUUGCGCCUCUUCAGAAUAUUGGCACUCUUUCAUCUAAAAAGACCCAAAAAUUCCUUUUCCAACUAUUUCCUUCCCCUCUUCCAGAACAGGGAACCGAUAUCAGAUGUGGCUUGUACGAUGUGGUUAUCACCGAUCUAUUUCAACAGCAUCGAGUGCAUAAGCAGAAACAUCACCCACAAGAUAAGUUGCUUCAUUUUUUUUAAGACCCUCUGUAGCCAAAACAUAAGUAGAACCGUUUAUAUGUUUUUGUACAUGAUGGAAAACACAGUUUUGGAAAAUCACACAUGACGCACAGAUAUUAUGAAUAUAUGCUCCAAUUACUGACCGUUCCCCUUUAUUUUCUUUCAGAUUACAAAUCACAGACAAGCAAUCUCUUUCGACUUCUAUAUUUAGAAAACCCAUUUUAGCUCCUAUCAAAACUGCCUGGAAGUAAGCCAUCACCUCUGCUGUAAAAUGGUGAAGGAUUUAUUAUCUUGCUUGCAAAAUCUUGCAUCAAAAUUUAUUUUGACAAAAGGGUUCUGAGGCGCAUUCCAUACACCAACGAUCGCAUUUUGCCCUUCAUGUAGCAAUUUUUUGUGUGCAAUCCAGAUUGCCCACAACCUACAGUAAAACAAUCGACAAGACACUUUUGAAAAACAUGUUCAACUAUUUCCACACUAUUGUGGCAGCGGAGACAGAUCGCAGAGUUCAUCAACCCCCUAUAAUAUAGGUUUUCAUAAGUAGGCACAAAGUUGUUCAUAAUCCUCCAUGUUGUAAUUUAUAUUUUGGAGGGUAGAUCAAUAUUCCAUAGCCUUUUGUAUCAGUUGGAGUAGGGGUAGAAAUUUUCAUUAGUAGAAAUUCCAUAAUGGUUAUGUAUCAACCAUUUCUAAGCACUUCGGACCGUAUAUUCCCCUGUAGCUUUACCACUCCAAGUGCGAGCAUCCUUCUGUGGAACAAGGGGUAAAGGAAUGGCUAGAAUCCACCGAGCAUCAUCAACAGCAAAGGUAGAAUUGAUUAAAUACUCCUUCCAAUUAUUUUUUUACUGGUCUAUCAAAUCUGCCACACUUUGAAUAGAAUCAUCUUGUAUAGGAUUUUGAAUUCGUUGAUUUUGAUUUCCAAGUAUCAAUGCAUCUACCCCAACCGAGACCUCCGUACCCGAACCAAUUCUCCAGUACAUUCCAGCCUCCAAAAUGCCCUUGGUGACUCAUAUGCUUCUCCAGGUAUAGGAAGAAGUGUUAUUGUAGUCACUAACACUGGAAAGUGCAGUGACAGUUUGAGCCAACAAGCAUUACAACGGAAGUUAAGUGAGGGUUAGAGAAAUUUAGUCCACUUGUUCUUAAUAGUGCCAUACUGCCAUCAUCGAAAGGUGAGGUUAAUAUGCAUAGUUAAGUUUGAGAUUAAAUAGAGGAGUAACGCUGAGUAAGAUAUACAUUGAAUUUUAUUGCAUCGACAAUCACCUAUACUUUUAUACCUUGUGAACACUUAGUAUUCUGCUGAAGAUUUAUGUUGGGGAUCCUAGUUUAUCAUUAUCAUAUUUUAUUUUAUUGUUCUCAA